rnacentral:lncRNA from 9 species
GGAAGAAGAAAGAGGAGAAGGAAGGAAAGAUGGAGGGAAACAUCUCAGGAGGGCCAUGCCCCAAGAAGGAUGGCCACUCCCAGCAGGAGCUCUGAGUCUGCACCUCCGCCAACCAGUGGACGCCCAGCACCCCAUUAUCAUUCCACUGCCUUCCAACGGAAAUUAUAAGCACUUUGUGUCAACCCCCGUCCACCCCGGCAGCUGCGCCGAGGGAAAGCGAUUGAGGUCAAGGGAGGCAGACAGCCUACCCAUCACGGCCACCGUGGCCAUUCCUCACGCGGUGACAUGCAAUCUCCCGCCGAGGGUCACCUCUGGGGAAGCGAUUCCUUCCAGCCCAGAACAAGUGCCAAAUUGCAGCUUUGCCGGAUAAUCACGUGGAACACAUUGAAAAUAGCCGCCUCCGUAAUAAAUGGUUAACCAAAGCAGCCCCUUCCUCCACAUAACCAAGAAGGUAGUUAUUGUAAAUACAUUAACUUAUUCGUGCUACAGCACAUGGCCCAGGAGCCAGCUCUGCAGGCAGCAAAGAGCAAAUCCCAGCCAGCCUGGGAGGGAACCAGCAAGGAGUGGGAAGGUUUAGUCAGCCAGGAAAAGGAAGAGGUUAAGCAAAGGCGCCCAGGAUAGACAAACCGCUACUGGACCUACAGAAAGGGGACUUGGCGAUCUGCAUCGUGCCUUCACUCUGUGCCCCACGGAAUCUGUGAAUUGAGACUGGGUCACAGAAAGAGAUGUCUGUGUGUCUUCCUGCUCACGUGGAAAUCAGUUAGUAUGGCAACUCCAAACUCCAGAGUGUUUGGGGAGCAAGGGAGGAGAAGAGAGAGAAGAAAGGGAGAAGGACGGAGAGUAGGGGGCAGGGAAGAGUGAUGGGGAGAGGCAGAAAUGGGAAUGAGAAACAGACCAGGAAUGGCGAAGGUGAUCUGAAGACCGAAAGAAUGAUGAGGAAAAAGGACAAUACAGAAAGAAAAUAUGCUGAAGGAGACAGACGGAGGGAGGAUAAAGGGACAGGGAAAGUGCGAGUGGGGACAGAGAGGGACAGAGAGGGACGGAGAGAUGGAGAGGGUAACAGCCUGCCUCUGGAAGGCUGGGUUUUGUUUCCACUGAGAAGAAAAAUCAUUCUUUGUUAUCAAAAGGCUUGAGUGACACCAGCAGACCCCUGGACCCCCUCUCCAACACGCCAGUACCCAGACCAGGGCGAGCAUUUACACACACUCAAGCGCACACACACUGACACACAGCCCACUGUCAAUCCCCCCUGCCCGCGCCCAACCGCCCCCAGCCGGAACACAAUUCAGUCCCAGAACAGAAAGAGCAGUAAGUGGUCCUCGCCAAAGGAAACAGGCCAAAACCAGACUGGGGCUGGGUGUGGGGGAACGGGGGUGGGGGGUGGGGGGCGGGGAGGAGGGGGAAGGCAGCCCAGGUCAGGGGCCCAGAGAGGACGGAAAUGCAAUUGGAAUGAAAAAGAACUUGGUACCCCAUGGAAGGGCUGUAGCACCGCCCCCUCCCCCCGCCCCACCCCAAGCCUGCUUCUCCUUCAUCGCAGCAUCAGGGCCC